rnacentral:rRNA from 1 species
GUAGGUGGCAAGCGUUGUCCGGAAUUAUUGGGCGUAAAGCGCGCGCAGGCGGUUCUUUAAGUCUGAUGUGAAAGCCCACGGCUCAACCGUGGAGGGUCAUUGGAAACUGGAGAACUUGAGUACAGAAGAGGAAAGCGGAAUUCCACGUGUAGCGGUGAAAUGCGUAGAGAUGUGGAGGAACACCAGUGGCGAAGGCGGCUAUCUGGUCUGUAACUGACGCUGAGGCGCGAAAGCGUGGGGGAGCAAACAGGAUUAGAUACCCUGGUAGUCCACGCCGUAAACGAUGAGUGCUAAGUGUUAGGGGGUUUCCGCCCCUUAGUGCUGCAGCUAACGCAUUAAGCACUCCGCCUGGGAGUACGGCCGCAAGGCUG